rnacentral:piRNA from 1 species
UUCCAUGGGUGUUAGUGAUACCAAAUC